rnacentral:tRNA from 1 species
GCCGGUGUGUUGGAAUUGGCAGACGAGACAGACUCAAAAUCUGUUGUCCGAAAGGGCGUGUGGGUUCGAGUCCCACCACCGGCA